rnacentral:rRNA from 1 species
ACAGAGGGUGCUAGCGUUGUUCGGAAUUACUGGGCGUAAAGGGCGCGUAGGCGGCCUGUUUAGUCGGGUGUGAAAUCCCGGGGCUCAACCCCGGAACUGCAUUCGAUACUGGCGGGCUGGAGACCGAGAGAGGUGAGUGGAAUACCCAGUGUAGAGGUGAAAUUCGUAGAUAUUGGGUGGAACACCGGUGGCGAAGGCGGCUCACUGGCUCGGAUCUGACGCUGAGGCGCGAAAGCGUGGGGAGCAAACAG